rnacentral:rRNA from 1 species
AUGAACGCUAGCGGCAGGCUUAACACAUGCAAGUCGAGGGGCAGCGAGAUUGUUAGCAAUAACGAUUGUCGGCGACCGGCGCAAGGGUGCGUAACGCGUGAGCAACUUGCCCUCAUCAGGGGGAUAACCGUUGGAAACGACGACUAAUACCCCAUAGCAUCACAUUGAGGCAUCUUGAUGUGAUUAAAGAAAUUCGGAUGAGGAUAGGCUCGCGUGACAUUAGCUAGACGGCGGGGUAACGCCCACCGUGGCGACGAUGUCUAGGGGUUCUGAGAGGAAGGUCCCCCACACUGGAACUGAGACACGGUCCAGACUCCUACGGGAGGCAGCAGUGAGGAAUAUUGGUCAAUGGUCGAGAGACUGAACCAGCCAUGCCGCGUGAAGGAGACGGCCCUAUGGGUCUUAAACUUCUUUUGUAAGGGAGCAAUAAGGAUCACGUGUGGUCUGAUGAGAGUACCUUACGAAUAAGCAUCGGCUAACUCCGUG